CGGGCUAUGACCUCCGCGCUGCUGGCGUAGGCGCCCCCUGGCGGUUGCGGCGUGCGCGGCCGCCCCUGUGUUCUUGAAGGAGCACGUGCUGCGCAGUGAGGGGAGCGGGCCCGGGCCGGGAAGGGGCCUGCGGCCCCGCGUCAGCACCCGCGCCCGUCUCUCCUCCCGGGCCCUCCCGCCGAACCACCGAAGUGGCAGCCGGAGAGCUGCCGGUGUCUCCUGUCACCGACACGUGCAGCAGGAAAUAAUGAAGCUUUCCAUGGAUGUUGCAGUAUGUAUUUGUGAAGGAAGUGGCUUUUUACAUAAAAUGCAGGUGCAAGGUAGACAACAUUUCUUGAAUUACUAAAAACACUGGUUGCGUCAGAGU